rnacentral:tRNA from 1 species
GCCCCCAUAGUUCAAGGGACAGAACAAGGGACUCCUAAGCCCUAGAUCCAGGUCCGAGUCCUGGUGGGGGCACCA